UACAGAGGGUGCAAGCGUUAAUCGGAAUUACUGGGCGUAAAGCGUGCGUAGACGGUUACAUAAGUCAGAUGUGAAAGCCCCGGGCUCAACCUGGGAAUUGCAUUUGAGACUGUGUAGCUAGGGUGCGGAAGAGGGAAGCGGAAUUUCCGGUGUAGCGGUGAAAUGCGUAGAUAUCAGGAGGAACACCGGUGGCGAAGGCAGCUCGCUGGGACGGUACUGACGCUGAGGCGCGAAAGCGUGGGGAGCAAACAGG
rnacentral:rRNA from 1 species